UGAAACGCUACUUCCUAUUUCAGGUUAUUUCUCGUGUGCAGUUUGGGUUUUCCCUAGAUUUUGACAACUGUGGCAAACCCCCAUUUUUCACUGGUCAACCUCCCGAACUCUGCUGGAUAGUGACCUGUUCCGCAUUGUUGGACACAUGAUUGGCCAUUCAUUCAUGAAUGGUGGUCCCUCAUUGACUGGACUUAGUCCUGCUAUGUUUGGAAUAAUACUUAGACAAAUGAAUGACACAGUCAUAACUGAACUUGAAGAUUGCCCUGACACAGAUGUCAUUGAAAUUGUCCAUCUAGUCAUUGGCUGUCGCAAGAAACAGAUGCAACAGGAUACUGGAGUAUUGAGCAUGGUUAAGGAAUGACCUUCUCUCAUUGAAGUCCUAUUCCCACGAUCAUCUUCCCUGACCAUCGACGCACAGGUACUGUUCCACAAUGUGCAUUCACUAUUUCCAACUAGAUACACAGAUAUAAUUACAAAUCCCUCUAUGUAAUGAUUAGGCAUAAUCUGAAGUUGCUUUUAUUAACAAAGCAUGGCUAAUAAACGGGUAGUCAAAACAUAAACA
ensembl:lncRNA